GACGAACGCUGGCGGCGUGCCUAAUACAUGCCAGUUGAGCGAUGAAGCUUGGUGCUUGCACCAAUUUGAAGAGCAGCGAACGGGUGAGUAACGCGUGGGGAAUCUGCCUUUGAGCGGGGGACAACAUUUGGAAACGAAUGCUAAUACCGCAUAACAACUUUAAACAUAAGUUUUAAGUUUGAAAGAUGCAAUUGCAUCACUCAAAGAUGAUCCCGCGUUGUAUUAGCUAGUUGGUGAGGUAAAGGCUCACCAAGGCGAUGAUACAUAGCCGACCUGAGAGGGUGAUCGGCCACAUUGGGACUGAGACACGGCCCAAACUCCUACGGGAGGCAGCAGUAGGGAAUCUUCGGCAAUGGACGAAAGUCUGACCGAGCAACGCCGCGCGAGUGAAGAAGGGUUUCGGAUCGUAAAACUCUGUUGGUAGAGAAGAACGUUGGUGAGAGUGGAAAGCUCAUCAAGUGACGGUAACUACCCAGAAAGGGACGGCUAACUACGUG
rnacentral:rRNA from 1 species